rnacentral:rRNA from 1 species
GAUGAACGCUGGCGGCGUGCCUAAUACAUGCAAGUCGAGCGAACGGACGAGAAGCUUGCUUCUCUGAUGUUAGCGGCGGACGGGUGAGUAACACGUGGAUAACCUACCUAUAAGACUGGGAUAACUUCGGGAAACCGGAGCUAAUACCGGAUAAUAUUUUGAACCGCAUGGUUCAAAAGUGAAAGACGGUCUUGCUGUCACUUAUAGAUGGAUCCGCGCUGCAUUAGCUAGUUGGUAAGGUAACGGCUUACCAAGGCAACGAUGCAUAGCCGACCUGAGAGGGUGAUCGGCCACACUGGAACUGAGACACGGUCCAGACUCCUACGGGAGGCAGCAGUAGGGAAUCUUCCGCAAUGGGCGAAAGCCUGACGGAGCAACGCCGCGUGAGUGAUGAAGGUCUUCGGAUCGUAAAACUCUGUUAUUAGGGAAGAACAUAUGUGUAAGUAACUGUGCACAUCUUGACGGUACCUAAUCAGAAAGCCACGGCUAACUACGUGCCAGCAGCCGCGGUAAUACGUAGGUGGCAAGCGUUAUCCGGAAUUAUUGGGCGUAAAGCGCGCGUAGGCGGUUUUUUAAGUCUGAUGUGAAAGCCCACGGCUCAACCGUGGAGGGUCAUUGGAAACUGGAAAACUUGAGUGCAGAAGAGGAAAGUGGAAUUCCAUGUGUAGCGGUGAAAUGCGCAGAGAUAUGGAGGAACACCAGUGGCGAAGGCGACUUUCUGGUCUGUAACUGACGCUGAUGUGCGAAAGCGUGGGGAUCAAACAGGAUUAGAUACCCUGGUAGUCCACGCCGUAAACGAUGAGUGCUAAGUGUUAGGGGGUUUCCGCCCCUUAGUGCUGCAGCUAACGCAUUAAGCACUCCGCCUGGGGAGUACGACCGCAAGGUUGAAACUCAAAGGAAUUGACGGGGACCCGCACAAGCGGUGGAGCAUGUGGUUUAAUUCGAAGCAACGCGAAGAACCUUACCAAAAUCUUGACAUCCUUUGACAACUCUAGAGAUAGAGCUUUCCCCUUGCGGGGGACAAAGUGACAGGUGGUGCAUGGUUGUCGUCAGCUCGUGUCGUGAGAUGUUGGGUUAAGUCCCGCAACGAGCGCAACCCUUAAGCUUAGUUGCCAUCAUUAAGUUGGGCACUCUAAGUUGACUGCCGGUGACAAACCGGAGGAAGGUGGGGAUGACGUCAAAUCAUCAUGCCCCUUAUGAUUUGGGCUACACACGUGCUACAAUGGACAAUACAAAGGGCAGCGAAACCGUGAGGUCAAGCAAAUCCCAUAAAGUUGUUCUCAGUUCGGAUUGUAGUCUGCAACUCGACUACAUGAAGCUGGAAUCGCUAGUAAUCGUAGAUCAGCAUGCUACGGUGAAUACGUUCCCGGG